AUUGAACGCUGGCGGCAGGCUUAACACAUGCAAGUCGAGCGGGGUGAUGGUGCUUGCACUAUCACUUAGCGGCGGACGGGUGAGUAAUGCUUAGGAAUCUGCCUAUUAGUGGGGGACAACAUCUCGAAAGGGAUGCUCAUACCGCAUACGUCCUACGGGAGAAAGCAGGGGAUCACUUGUGACCUUGCGCUAAUAGAUGAGCCUAAGUCGGAUUAGCUAGUUGGGGGGGUAAAGGCCUACCAAGGCGACGAUCUGUAGCGGGUCUGAGAGGAUUAUCCGCCACACUGGGACUGAGACACGGCCCAGACUCCUACGGGAGGCAGCAGUGGGGAAUAUUGGACAAUGGGGGGAACCCUGAUCCAGCCAUGCCGCGUGUGUGAAGAAGGCCUUAUGGUUGUAAGGCACUUUAAGCGAGGAGGAGGCUCUUUUGGUUAAUACCCAAGAUGAGUGGACGUUACUCGCAGAAUAAGCACCGGCUAACUCUGUGCCAGCCGCCGCAGUAA
rnacentral:rRNA from 1 species